rnacentral:lncRNA from 1 species
CUCUGAGGAGAUCAAUAUGGCAGCCUCUGAUUCCAACCUCUUAAUUCUCCUCUUGGCAGGAAUUAGAAUCUUCCUUGGAAAAUAAUGGGGGCAGAAGAAGCUAGAGAUAUCUAUUUUGUCUUCCUUUGAGCCCCGUAACAACACCCCCAGGCUACAUGCUAUCUAUAUUCACAGUGUCUUUUUGGAAUAGUGGACCACUUGCCCUGCUGGCUUUGCAACCAACAUUUAAGGAACAAGCAUCAAUUACAGACAAAACCCCGGAGCAAACUUCAGGAGUAAAAAGCAGGGAAUUUUUUGAAAUAGAAAACCAAUGA